UACGAAGGGUGCAAGCGUUACUCGGAAUUACUGGGCGUAAAGCGUGCGUAGGCGGUUUGUUAAGUCUGUCGUGAAAGCCCCGGGCUCAACCUGGGAAUGGCGAUGGAAACUGGCGAGCUAGAGUACGGUAGAGGAGAGUGGAAUUCCCGGUGUAGCAGUGAAAUGCGUAGAGAUGUGGAGGAACACCGAUGGCGAAGGCAGCCCCCUGGGUCAAGAUUGACGCUCAUGCACGAAAGCGUGGGGAGCAAACAGG
rnacentral:rRNA from 1 species